rnacentral:rRNA from 1 species
AUUGAACGCUGGCGGCAGGCCUAACACAUGCAAGUCGAGCGGUAGAGAGAAGCUUGCUUCUCUUGAGAGCGGCGGACGGGUGAGUAAUGCCUAGGAAUCUGCCUGGUAGUGGGGGAUAACGUUCGGAAACGGACGCUAAUACCGCAUACGUCCUACGGGAGAAAGCAGGGGACCUUUGGGCCUUGCGCUAUCAGAUGAGCCUAGGUCGGAUUAGCUAGUUGGUGGGGUAAUGGCUCACCAAGGCGACGAUCCGUAACUGGUCUGAGAGGAUGAUCAGUCACACUGGAACUGAGACACGGUCCAGACUCCUACGGGAGGCAGCAGUGGGGAAUAUUGGACAAUGGGCGAAAGCCUGAUCCAGCCAUGCCGCGUGUGUGAAGAAGGUCUUCGGAUUGUAAAGCACUUUAAGUUGGGAGGAAGGGCAGUUGCCUAAUACGUAACUGUUUUGACGUUACCGACAGAAUAAGCACCGGCUAACUCUGUG